UUCCGGUUGAUCCUGCGGAGGCUACUGCUAUUGGAAUCCGAUUAAGCCAUGCGAGUCUAAAGGACUUCGGUCCUUGGCGGACGGCUCAGUAACACGUGGAGAACCUGCCCUCAGGAGGGGGAUAACCCCGGGAAACUGGGAAUAAUACCCCACAGGUCUAGGAUGCUGGAAUGCUUCUAGGCUGAAAGCUCCGGCGCCUGAGGAUGGCUCUGCGGCUUAUCAGGUUGUAGUGAGGGUAACGUCCUCACUAGCCUAUGACGGGUACGGGCCCUGAGAGGGGAAGCCCGGAGAUGGACUCUGAGACACGAGUCCAGGCCCUACGGGGCGCAGCAGGCGCGAAAACUCCGCAAUGCUCGAAAGAGUGACGGGGGGAUUCCAAGUGCCUACGCUCAGCGUAGGCUGUUCAGAUGCCUAAAAAGCAUCUGGAGUAAGGGCUGGGUAAGACGGGUGCCAGCCGCCGCGGUAAUACCCGCAGCUCGAGUGGUAGUCGAUUUUAUUGGGCCUAAAGCGUCCGUAUCCGGUCUGGUAAAUGCUUGGGUAAAUCGUGGGGCUCAACCCUACGAAUUCCGGGUAGACUGCCAGACUUGGGACCGGUUGAGGAAGAGGGUACUUUAGGGGUAGGAGUGAAAUCCUGUAAUCCUUGAAGGACCACCAGUGGCGAAGGCGCUCUUCUAGGACGGGUCCGACGGUGAGGGACGAAAGCCAGGGGAGCAAACCGGAUUAGAUACCCGGGUAGUCCUGGCCGUAAACGAUGUGGGCUUGGCAUUGGGGGUUCUACGUGAGCGCCCAGUGCCGUAGCGAAGGCGUUAAGCCCACCGCCUGGGAAGUAUGGUCGCAAGGCUGAAACUUAAAGGAAUUGGCGGGGGAGCACAGCAACGGGAGGAGCGUUGCGGUUAAUUUGGUUCACGCCGGGAAU
rnacentral:rRNA from 1 species